ACGAAAGCGUGGGUAGCAAACAGGAUUAGAUACCCUGGUAGUCCACGCCGUAAACGAUGAUAACUAGCCGUUGGGAGGAUUUACCUCUUAGUGGCGAAAGCUAACGCGUUAAGUUAUCCGCCUGGGGAGUACGGCCGCAAGGUUAAAACUCAAAGGAAUUGACAGGGACCCGCACAAGCGGUGGAGCAUGUGGUUUAAUUCGAUGCAACGCGAAGAACCUUACCUGGUCUUGACAUACAGAGAACUUUCUAGAGAUAGAUUGGUGCCUUCGGGAACUUUGAUACAGGUGCUGCAUGGCUGUCGUCAGCUCGUGUCGUGAGAUGUUGGGUUAAGUCCCGUAACGAGCGCAACCCUUAUCCUUAUUUGCCAGCACAUCAUGGUGGGAACUAUAGGGAGACUGCCGGUGAUAAACCGGAGGAAGGCGGGGACGACGUCAAGUCAUCAUGGCCCUUACGACCAGGGCUACACACGUGCUACAAUGGGAAGGACAAAGGGUUGCUAAGCCGCGAGGUGGUGCUAAUCUCAUAAACCUUUUCGUAGUCCGGAUCGGAGUCUGCAACUCGACUCCGUGAAGUCGGAAUCGCUAGUAAUCGUGGUCAG
rnacentral:rRNA from 1 species